AUGUGGGAUCUUCCCGGACCGGGGUACAAACCCGUGUCCCUGCAUCAGCAGGCGGACUCUCAACCAUUGCGCCACCAGGGAAGCCCUCUAGCUACAGAGAUUAGCUUCAAAGCCUAUGCUAAAAUCACAAAAUCCCUGAGUUGCCACCUUUAUGAGACUCACAACAUUUAAAAAGUGAUCUUCAUACCCGAAAAGUUUGAGAACCCAAACUUUUUCUGAUAAUUCAGCAUUUCAACUACCAUGUGGAGAUUGUCAAACAUCUCAAAUUUGCCUGUGUGUUGGAUUCCCAUAAGAUGGCCGGAUGCUCUCCCUUUACAGGAACACACGUGGUUGCAGCGACAACAGACAUCAUGUUAGCCCAGCCCCAAAAGCAGCCUUUUAAGUCAAUUUCAGGCACGAGAGAUCCCAGGUCUCUUUCCUCUUGGUUUCAACAAAUUAAAAUGUUAUCCCCUAAUAAACAUCAAUCC